UGGGGAAUUUUGGACAAUGGGCGAAAGCCUGAUCCAGCAAUGCCGCGUGUGUGAAGAAGGCCUUCGGGUUGUAAAGCACUUUUGUCCGGAAAGAAAUCCUUGGCUCUAAUACAGUCGGGGGAUGACGGUACCGGAAGAAUAAGCACCGGCUAACUACGUGCCAGCAGCCGCGGUAAUACGUAGGGUGCAAGCGUUAAUCGGAAUUACUGGGCGUAAAGCGUGCGCAGGCGGUUUGCUAAGACCGAUGUGAAAUCCCCGGGCUCAACCUGGGAACUGCAUUGGUGACUGGCAGGCUAGAGUAUGGCAGAGGGGGGUAGAAUUCCACGUGUAGCAGUGAAAUGCGUAGAGAUGUGGAGGAAUACCGAUGGCGAAGGCAGCCCCCUGGGCCAAGUACUGACGCUCAUGCACGAAAGCGUGGGGAGCAAACAGGAUUAGAUACCCUGGUAGUCCACGCCCUAAAACGAUGUCAACUAGUUGUUGGGGGAUUCAUUUCCUUAGUAACGUAGCUAACGCGUGAAGUUGACCGCCUGGGGAGUACGGUCGCAAGAUUAAAACUUAAAGGAAUUGACGGGGUCAU
rnacentral:rRNA from 1 species